UACGUAGGGUGCGAGCGUUAAUCGGAAUUACUGGGCGUAAAGUGUGCGCAGGCGGCCGCGCAAGUCGAGUGUGAAAGCCCCGGGCUUAACUUGGGAAUUGCGCUCGAAACUACGUGGCUAGAGUGUGGCAGAGGGAGGUGGAAUUCCACGUGUAGCGGUGAAAUGCGUAGAUAUCUGGAGGAACACCGGUGGCGAAGGCGGCAUCCUGGACCACGACUGACGCUGAGUGAGCGAAAGCCAGGGGAGCAAACGGG
rnacentral:rRNA from 1 species